CUGCCUACAGGAAACACACCUCAGAGACAAAGACAGACACUACCUCAGAGUGAAAGGCUGGAAAACAACUUUCCAAGCAAAUGGUCAGAAGAAGCAAGCUGGAGUAGCCAUUCUAAUAUCAAAUAAAAUCAAUUUUCAAUUAAAAGUCAUCAAAAAAGAUAAGGAAGGACACUUCACAUUCAUCAAAGGAAAAAUCCACCAAGAUGAACUCUCAAUCCUCAUCUUCGGUUGGUUUAUAUACAAGUGUGCAAUUUCUAGGCUUGAAAGUAAAAUGAUGCUAUCUGGUGCUGGAUAGAGGAGCCUUAUUUUUUAUUAUGGCAGCUUGCUAUUUUUGUAACAUGGUGAUUUGGUUGAACACAAUAAAGUACAGUAGUAACUGAAAAAAAAAUAAAAGGGGAACAAGAAUACCCUUGGCAGGGAAUAGAGAGGCAAAGAUUAAAACAGACACAGAAGGAACACCCAUUCAGAGCCUGCCCCACAUGUGGCCCAUACAUAUACAGCCAUCCAAUUAGACAAGAUGGAUGAAGCAAAGAAGUGCAGGGAGACAGGAGCCGGAUGUAGAUCGCUCCUGAGAGACACAGCCAGAAUACAGCAAAUACAGAGGCAAAUGCCAGCAGCAAACCACUGAACUGAGAAUAGGUCCCCCGUUGAAGGAAUCAGAGAAAGAACUGGAAGAGCUUGAAGGGCCUCGAGACCCCAUAUGUACAACAAUGCCAAGCAACCAGAGCUUCCAGGGACUAAGCCACUACCUAAAGACUAUACAUGGACUGACCCUGGACUCUGACCUCAUAGGUAGCAAUGAAUAUCCUAGUAAGAGCACCAGUGGAAGGGGAAGCCCUUGGUCCUGCUAAGACUGAACCCCCAGUGAACUAGACUGUUGGGGGGAGGGUGGCAAUGGGGGGAGGAUUGAGAGGGGAACACCCAUAAAGAAGGGGAGGGGGAGGGAUUAGGGGGAUGUUUGCCCGGAAACCUGGAAAGGGAAUAACUCUAGAAAUGUAUAUAAGAAAUUCUCAAGUCAAUAAAAAAAAAAAAAAAGAAAUGUGGAGGUCAGGGGCUAGGGAGUAGUUUGGUUGGUAGUGUGCACGCUCAGCAUGCAUAAAGGCAUGAAUUUGAUCCACAGUAUAACACAAAGGAGGUGUAGUAGUGGACAACUCUAUCUUCAGCCUGCAGGAGGCAGAACCAGGAGAAUCCAUUCAAGGUUGUCCUCAGUUCAAACUGUGUUUAAGGCCAUCUUGGGGCAUAUGAAAAUCUCUCUCCCCGAACAGAAACAAUAACAAACCCAUGAAAUAAAUUUUGCUUAAUAUUUAAAAAAAAAGGUAUUUGUACCUUUGGAGGCCAGAAGAAGGUGGUAAAUUCUCUUGGACUGGAGUUACAGAUUGUUGUGACGUGAGUGCUGGAAACUGAGCCCGGGUUCUCUGGAAGAGCAACAGAUGUCGUUAACUGAUGAGGCAUCUUUUAAUUCUAUCUUAAAUAUUUAAAAUCCAUGUUCAUAUUAAAAAUGCUUUAUUCGUUCUUUUUAAAAAUUUGUCUUGUCUACCUAUGUGCGUGUGCCUCUGGUGUGCACAGAACCAGAAGAUGGUGUCAGAUACUCUGUGACUGGAAUUAGAGGCAGGGAGGCUGUGGGAGGAACCACUGAAUGAGAAGGAGAUUGGUGUGACUGCAGACACGACAGGAGUACUGGAAGGCGCUGAUUUAUAGAAAGAAAUUCACUGUGCAUUGAGAUGUCCAUUCUUGUGUCUCAGAUUUGCACAAGUAUCUUGUGAGCACCAUCAUUCCUUGGUUAUGAACUCGGGUUCUACCCAGUGACAAAGUAGAAGGGGAUGAUGGUCUGUCGUGUCUGAAUGUCUAUGCCAUUUGAACCAACUUUUGAUUUUGUUUUCAUUGCCUUUGGGCCGUUUGCUUAUGUGGCAGGGAUUCUACCUACAAAGCACAUGGUAUGGCCUGAAGUAAAGUCUGCUGUAGAGCCAUGGCUUCUUCCUUUGCAUCAUCUUAGAUUGGCCAAACCACAGGCCAUUUACUAAGGCACGAGCCACUCUGAUGAUGGUAUCUCGGCUGUCUUUUCUUGUUCUGAUGUUUAUUCUACCUUUGCAGCAGACCCCUAUCCCCUGUCAUCUUGGAGAUUAGUAGAGAGAACAAGACACAGAGAAGCGAUGAAAACACAGCAGUCCAGUUGCCAAGGUCUCGUAGUGCUUACUGGUCUCUCUGAGGAUUGGUAGUUUCUACGGUAGUGGUAUAAUUCUGUGGGGCUCGGAUUUGCUGAGGUUGGUGAGGGUUUCAAUUUUGUUUAUUUGUCCUCCCUUAUUUACUAAGUGGACUUGUUCUACACAAAAGAACAUCAAGGAUUACAAUUCAGCAGUCACUCAGACGAGCUUCAUGAAGAUGUCUCUCCUUGAUGUUGGUCAUCGCUGUGGUUGUGGGACAUCUCUUCUGGUUGUUUUAAUUGUCACUACAGCGUUCAGACAAUGGUCUCAUGUGCAGCAGGGCUGAAAGCAGAAGGUUAUGUAUAGACAUAUUUUCUCUCACUCCCAGUUCUUCACUUAACAGUGACAGAAUUUGUGGUGGCGUGCUUUCUGUCUGAAAACCCUGUCCUUUUGUCUCUGGGAAAUGAGUGGAGAGAUAGUUUAGUAACAUAGGAUUACUGACUGAAGCUGAAGAUGCUGUGGGAACUAUCUUUUCAGCUGGGUUGUUUGGGAAACAGAAGGAUUUUUUUUAAUCUUCAUUCACUCUUAAAGUAGGAAUUAUAACUACAAUUUUCAAAUGGGAAAGGUGUUAAUAUUUAGGUGUACUAAGCUGACAUAUUUUUAUGUGUAUUGAGUAGAAGAGGUGUAGUUGCUACUUCCUGCUCACUUUAACUCUCUUUUGGUGUAAGAAUAAAAGGGGAGGUGAAUCAGGAGCUGAAAGUGUGAACUGCUCUUAUAGAGUACCCAAGUCUAGUUCCCGGCACCCAUUUCGGGUAACUUACCAUUGCUUGUAUCUCCACCUCCAGGAUAUCUGAUGUGCUGAUGGGCACCUGAACAUACAUGCACUUACCCCCAGCAUGUAAUUAAAACAAAAUAAACCUUAAAUGAAUAAGGAAAGGCAGUGACAAUAAAGAAUCACUUAAAAAUAACAAGAUGGAGGGCUAAAACAUUGGCAUCUGUCACUAGAAUACUGUAGCCAAAACAUACUUAAAAUAUCUUAAAUAUCAAUUUGCUGUAUGAACCUCCGAUGAAGCCGGCAUCUCAACCAAUCUGUAUUCAUAUACGUAGGUCUUCCUGCUCAUAAGUCUGUGUUUAAUAGGGCAGCCUCCAAUAGGGUUUUUAGUUAGUUUAAUAAAUAUUUAUUGUGAAGCAUUGUGUUGCAGGGACAAAGAUGACUAGAAAGAGUUCAAAGUAGCAAUUAAAGAAACAAAAGGAUAAAGUAAGAACAUUCUGUAUGCUCAAGUGAUUGUGAAAAGGAAAAUCUGGACAGUAUGCCGGGUAUGUGUGGGGCUACCCUUAGGGCUAUCCUAAGCAUUCAAGGGUAGGGUGCUUGUACCUUUCCGGGAGAGCACAUCUAUUUAUCCUUGAUUCCAAAACUGUUUUCUUUCAACGAAUCUGAUUUUGAUUUUGCCUUGCCUGGCGGUGUUUUCAGCCUGUUGGCUUUUGUGGUUUAUUGUAGAAACUUGUUUCAAGGUCUGAGUUCUGCCUUUGAUUACGUAAUCUUUGAGCUCUUUGAUCGUCAUUCACAGCCCGUUUAUCUUUCGUUUUGAAAUUCAGAAUAAGAUAUAGAGUAAAGUGCUGAGAGACUCAAUGAAGGAAAACAGUAAUGGAAAAGAAAAUCAUUAUAUGACCUAUUAGCACACUCAAAGGAUGAGGCCUGGUGCUCCAGGCAGUCCUGCCCAAGUCCUGUCACUAUCAGAAAAGCCCUCCUGGCCCAUUCAGAAGUAUUUAUUUUUCAUCAAUGGUGCUGGAGGUUGAAAUUAGGGGUCAGUGCAGAUAACAGAAAUACCAUAAUACUAAAAGAUUUCGUCAGCCUUUUUAAAAAAAGAAAUCAAUAAGUCAGAAAGACCUUUCCAAAUCUCCAAGUCCUCUUUCAGGUAUCCCAAGAAAUCUACCAGAGAACUGUCUUAAAGAUAGCUAGAGAAAAAAAAAUUCAUUUUAAUUUAAAUUAUUUUAUUUACAUUCCAGUCAUUCUUCCUCCCAAGUCCCCCCUCCCACAGUUUCUCAUUCCAUUCCUCCUCCCUUUUGCCUCAGAAAGAGUGCUCUCCUCCGUACCAGGCCUCCCCCUUCCCUGGGGCCUUAAGUCUCUCAAGGAUUAAGCGCAUCUUCUCUCACUGCAGCCAGACCAGGUAGAUCUCUGCUACACAGGCACCAGGGGCCUCAGACCAGCCUGUGUAUGCUCCUGGUUGGUGACUCAGCCCCUGGGGCCCGAGAUAGCUGAGACUGCUGCUCUUCCUAUGGGGUCGCUCAACCUUUCAGCUUCUUCAAUCCUUCUCCUAAUUCAACCAUGGGGAUUCCUGACUUUAGUCUAAUGGUUGGGUAUUAAGUGUCUGCAUCUGUCUCAGUCAGCUGCUGGUAGGGCCUCUCAGAGGAUAGCCAUGCCAGGCUGUUUGUAUCCCUACCCCUUAUGAGAUGGAUCCCAAGUUGGGCCAGCACCGUACCUCCUUUUGUUCAGUCACCAUUUUUGUCCCUGCAGAUCUUUUAGACAGGAACAAUUCUGGGUCAGGAAUUUUGACUGUGGGUUAGUAGUCCUGUUCCUCCAUUUGAGGCCUGUAGAGUUCUUUUCCCCCACUCUUGAGCAUUUUGGCUCAGGUUACCCGCCCCCCCUACGCCCCUCACACCUAAUGACUCCCGAGAGAGAGUCUCACUUCAGGGGUCUCUGGUACUCCUCACCUCCCAUUCCAGGAAGCUGCUUAUUUCCAUUCAUUCUCUUGCUCUCUGGGCUUCUCUCCUGUCCCCUCCCCCCAUAUCUGUUCCUGUUCCCCUUUUCUGCUCCCCUCCCCUUUCCCACCUAGGUCCCUCCAUCCUCCAUCCUUCCACCUCCCGUGAUUAUUUCCUUCCCCUUUCUAAGUGUGGUUGAAGCCUCCUCACUUGGGCAUUUCUGCUUGUGGAUGAUCCCCCCAUCCACUUCCUUUGUGUCAGAAUAACCUAGAGACUAACUUGGGAAAUUUUCUGAACAUCAUCAAUACAUAUCCAAACCUGAUGCAAAGCUCUUUGAUGCCCAGUACAAACAAUGGUGUUUGUGCUGCCCUCACACAUAGAUCCAAGGCAGGAGGAUAUUACGAUCGUGAUAUUUCAAAAUCACAAGCAUACCUCAACUACCAAAUGAGUGAGCAUUUCAGAGAGAAUAGUUGUGGAGUUUGCACAGAAAACUCGAACAGUGUGCCUAAGGCUUGAAGAAAUAAGUUUGGUAAUACAGAAUAGGGGUGAAAUGGAAGUGUGUCUUAAGGUGGAUGGCUUGUUGUGCUUGAAAUGACAACGUAGAUGUGUUUGAGAUGACGGAGUAGGAGCAUCCAGCUGUGUUUCCAGUUGGCAGUAUAUGGUGGACUAUUAGACGAACUGGCUUUGGUUAUACUCAAACACAAUGCUCAGACGAUCCAGUUUCCCAAAGCAGUUAAGGUGCUUAUUGUGUUUAUUUGUGUUGUGUUUCUGAAUGAUGACAGAAAGGCUCCCUACUUCCUCCUUGGGCAGCUAAAUACUUUUUUAAAUGGAAGGUUCCUACUAGUACCUGGAUAGAGGAUAUUAUGCAAAAUGUACCAUACAUUCAUUUCACUUUUUUAUUAAUACAUAUAUUCUAUAAAGUAGCAAUGAAGUAGCAAAAAAAAUGAAAAAUACAUUUCAUGACAUUUUCACACAUUUGUAUUAUGCACUUUGAUCUACUUCCCAGUUAUGUAUUAUUCCUUUCCAUUUUUCACAUUCAAAACUAAAAAUUACAUUCUCUUGUAUGUCUGUGUAUGAGUGUACAUAGGAGAGAGCUACAUGGUGUGUGUGUGUGUGUGUGUGUGUGUGUGUGUGUGUGUGUGUAGGUCAGAGGAAGCUGGUUCUUUCCUCUCACCAUGUGGGUCCUGGACAUCGAAGUCAGCUCAGUAGCCUUGGUGGCAGUGGCCUUCCCUCCCUGAGCCAUCUUGGCAGCCCCUUUGUUUCUUUUCUUGCUGGUCCUUGUCUUUCCCAUUGUUCCAUUUUGCUUUCACGCUCUAUUAUUUUGAAACCUAGAUUCCACACAGGAGAGACUACACAGUUUCUUGUCUUGUUUUACUUCUAAGAUUUACUGCUUGGUGUCUGGUUCUUUUGUGAUGUUCAGUAGGAUAUUAUCUAGAACAUCCUUUUCAGAUCGAUCAUAAUAUCAAAUAUCCAAAUGUGAGAGGCCGUCUGCACUCUCUUUACUGUUAUAUUAGCUGGCGUAAUCUGCUAUGCUGUAUGAUGCAUAGUAUCGUAUAAAACUAUUUCUUUUUGGACGAACUCCAUAAAAUCAAAGCCAGAAGUUUGCCUCAGGAAAAUGAUAGAGUGAGAAAUUCCCCCCAUUUUAGAAGGCAGUUAAUCGUAUUUCCUGUUUCAAAAUCAAGUACAAUGGGACAUAUUUUCUUUGCUACUUCAUUUCUAAGGAAAUCUUACAUGAGAAGAAUCAAAUUAUUUAGCAGAAACAUCAGAUGUUGGUCCACCUGUCUGAUUACUGUUAAGAACUCUAAUCUUGUAGUUAGGUAAAUAUCUUAAUUAGAUCACAUGCCACUUCAGAUCCAGUAGAAUGCAUCCAAAGCUGGAAUUUUGCUCAGAAAUUUGAGCCCGUGUUGGUUGCUAUGGUGCUUAUUCAUACAGAGUCAAGCAUCUACCAGUACAACCCACAACACCAUAUUUGCAAACCCAGAUUCUAAGCUUUGCUGGUGAUCUUGGGCCUCAGCUACCUGUUUAGGACUAAUGUGUCUUGUGAGGCUGAUGUGGGUCUGAGGUAACACACUCGCUGUGUGAAGCUCUUGGCCGGAGGGCGCUUUCUGACAUUUGCCCCUCUGUUAUAAUGUUGCAAUAACCUUUUUAUUUGUCAUCACUUUAUGUAUUGGUUAAAGCACUCAAGUGACUUUACAAUCUUAUAUUUUUUCAUUUUCUAUUUAUAUUAUAUUAUAAAUUUUAUAUUUAUAUUUCAUUCAGUCAUGAAAUAUUUACUACUACUCAGACAUGAUAAAAAAGCAUGAUCCUUACUUCUAAAUUCAGUCUGAUUAUCCAAAUGAUGUCAUUGGAAAGGCCACUUAACUAAGUCUAAAAUAAUCAUCUUUCUCAUUUUGAACACAUCUUCUGUUAUUCAGUCCUGUGGUUUGUUAACCAGUGAUCACAUGGGCAGAACACCAAAACUACUUGGAAAAAUUCUCUCCAAAAUACUGAUCCCUGGGCCCUAGGACCAUUAGUUGAGUCAGACUUUUAGGGUUUGUGUGUCAUUAAAAAGCUCCCAGGGGACAUAGGGUUGGGACUCACUGGGCUUGUCUGUACUUUAUUCUGUUUUACAUCCGUUAACUAUGCCAUCCUUGUCUGUUAGCCUUUGUUAGCCUCAGAAUACAGCUUCUGUUCCUUUUUUCACCAUGCACAUGGGACCUUCUUCUCCCUGUUUGGUGCAUUCAAUACUUGAUUUCUAUAUAUUUUAUCAUUUAGGAUUAUUGGAAAAGUAUGAUUGAAAAAAAGCCCCCUAUAACCAUGUCUUCUGUAUGAUUUGCUUUUCAAGUUAGUGUCUAAGUCUCUUAUGGAAGAGAUUGGAUGCUCUGGUUUUGUUGUGGCUCACCAGUCACAGUGAGCCUUGCAUUGCUUCUGACCAUAACAGGCAUGAAUGGUCAGACCAAUGGGCUCACUUCUGCAAAUCUCACCCCUUCCUCUAACCUAUUUUGGUUUUGCCAUCUGUGGGAUAUCAACAUGAGCUAUUGAAUUUUUAAGUCUGAAUUUCUAACUGCAAAUUUCAUUCUUUUAAUCAGCUAACAUUCUUUGGCCUUUAAACUUACCUUUUCACUAAUUCAAAUGAAGCAGUUAGAGAAGUUAAUCUCUGGAUGUUUUGUAGGGGCCUAUAGGAUAAAGUCAUAGCAUGAUAUUGCACGUACUUCCUUGGAACGCAGACUGUAUCACAUCUGUCUUUGUAUCUCAGGCAGACCAGAGAGAGAAGAGAGGAGAGGAAGGACUAGGAGGAGAGGAGAUGUGGAGAAACAACAUGGAGAGAGCAGGAGGAUUGCCAUGAGAUUGAAAUGAAAGAGUAGACACAGAGACCCGUGGACCAGAGUGAGCCAAGGCCAGACCCAUAGGCACAAGGGGAGGUCAAUGGGAGAGUCUGAAGAGAAGCAUCAAGAGGUCUUGGUUCAAAGGAUUGGCCCCUUCAUGCACUCCAGCAGUUCAUUGAUGGAGUAGAUGUCAGAGUGAGCCAAUUCAAAGUCCGGGAUCUGGACCUGAGAAGCAUCUGAGCUGUUUCACCCACCAGCUUCCCUGCACCCACAACACUUGGCAAACUGGAAAAUGACGUCUGCAUAUAAUUCAGAGGUCAGCUGACUGUGGGAGCAAAGCCCCAACAGAUACAUCGAUGGCUGAACCCAAGACUCACAAUACCUUGUGGUAGAAGGGGCUUCACCAGAACUGUGAAGAAUCAGGCAACCAGGAAGUCUGCUUGAGAUCGUGUUUCCAAGGAAUAACGGGAGAGGUACAUCAAUGAUACCUCAACUAUAUGGAUGCCUAACAAGACUAGAACAGAGACAAUUUCAACAAACCUGCUAGGUAAUACAGAAAGGGGAACUUUCACUGGGUCCCACCUCUAGACACAUUACUACUGUCAAAUAAUGACUGCAGAGAGAGAGAGAGAGAGAGAGAGAGAGAGAGAGAGAGAGAGAGAGAGAGAGAGAGAACACAAGUCUCUGCCAGGAAUAAGUCCCUUCAUUUGUUAUCCAGCACAAAGUGGCCAGCCCUGAAACUGUAUACACAAAGUAAUACAAAAUAUAUUCACCAGGCUGUAUUUAUACCUUUACAUAUAUGCAUAUAUACACACAUAUAUGAAUGUAACUGUAAUAAUCAAUGAAAAAGACAACAUCAACUUCAGAGAGGGAAUGUGUUUGGGGCAGGUAAAGGGUUGGAGGGAGGAAAGGGAGGGUGAAAGUAAUAUAUAGUUAUAGUUUUAGUUAACAUAAAUACAUACAUGUUUUAAAAAUGGGGAUAAUUUGACCUUUUACUUUCUGAUGUAUAUCCCCUGUAUUUCUUUCUCUUGUAUUUAUUCUCUACCUAAGGCUUCAAAGGCUAUUCUGAGACAGAGUGGAGAAUGUGCACCCUGUCUUGUUCCCAAUUUUAGAGGAAGCAUUCUCAUUGACUCUCCCAUGUAAUAGAAAGCUAACAGUUUUCUGCAUAUGGUUUUAUGUCUUUUUGCCAACAUGUGAUCCUUUUAUUCUUAGAUUCUUCAGGGAUGUUAUUAGGAAAUCAUGUUAAACUUUUCCAUGUUAAUUGAAAUGAACAUGUGAUUUCUCUCUUUUGGUUUAUUUAUAAAUCAAAUCAUAAUAUAGAUAUUGGCUUAUGUGUCUUGAACACAUCUGGAAUGAAACCAAAUUGAUAGUAGUGUCUGACCUUAAUUAAGAUGUUCUUGAAUUUGGUUUAUAAGGAUUUUAUUGAGAUGUUUUGCAUCUGUAUCCACCAAGGAUUUCAAGCUAUAGCAGUUUCCUUCAUAUGUCCUUACUUGUAUGUCUUCAGAGUAAUACUCUAUCCAUGGGAUGAACUCAUAGUCUUUUUUCCCGUGUUGCUGUAUGGAGUAGUUUGAAGACCAUUGUCAUCUCUUUCUCAAAGGUGUCAUAAAAUUUGGCAGUGAACCCAUGCAAUCUUGAGCUUUUUGUUGUUAUUGGUAGAUUUUUAUAGUUUUCCUGAGAUGUCCACUGUAUUCUUGGUUUCUGAAUGUGUGGUUCCCAGUUGGUAACAGUAUUUGGGUAUCUUAGGGGCUGUGGCCUUGCUGGAGCAAGUGUAUCACUAUGGUAGGCUUUGAAGUUUCAAAAAAAAAUCAUAUGCACUUUCCAGUUUGCUUUCUCUGCUUCCUGUUUGCUGUGUGAGAUGUGAGCUCUCAGCUGUUCCCAUGUCAUCAUUGAUGGUGCUUGCCUUAAUGUUCCUCUACUGUGGUGGUGAUGGACCUUUAUCCUUUUGGAAAUAUAAGCCCCAAAUAAACCCUUUCCCUAAGUUGCCUUGGUGACGGUGUUGGAUUGCAGUAACAGAAAAGUAACCAACGCAGAGAUCUUUCAUUAUUAACUCAAUUUAAUUCACUGACAUGGGUCUGUUUAAACAGGUUAUGUACUCUACAUUUAAUUUUCUAGUCAUAUGUGUCCAUGCAUUUUUAUAUACUCUUUCUUCUAGAUUUUAUAAUGCUUUUGGAAAUACAAAAUUUUAAAGUAUUUCAUGAUUGUUCUCUCUGUGUUUCAUGAGUCUCUGUAGUAAUCAUUUUUAAAUUCUAAUUUUAUUAAUUUUCAGCUCUUUCCUUUGGUUAGUUUGGCUAUAGUCUCGUCAGUCUUGCUUUUUUUUUCUUCAGAGAACCAACUCCUUGAUUGAUUUUGUAUGUUUCUCUUUUAGUCUCUUCUUUAUGAAUUUCUGCUCUUACCUUUAUUCUUUCUUACACUCUACUGAUUUCUGGUUUGUAUUAUUAUCGUUUAUAUAGGAAAAUGAGAUAUAUCAUUAAGUUGUGUAAGGUUUUCUGAUUUCUUUUUAAUUUAAAAUUUCAUUUUGAUGAGAAUUUGAUAUACUGUAUUUACAUAAUUUAUAUCUUCCUCCCCCAAAGUUCUCUCAUGUCACUUCCUUUCAAGUUCAUGAUUCUUUUUGCUAAAAUUAUGAUUGUUUUGUGAGUGCACAUAUAACCCACACACAUACAUCUACCCCCACAGCCUAUUGAGCCCAUUCAUUAUUGUUCUUAUGAACACUAGUUCUUUGACUGACUGACUCCUUGGGACUACAUAACCUAUCAGGGUCACAUCCCUGGAGGAGACUGAUUCUCCCUCUCUUGGCAUUGAUUGAUUGACAUGGUUCUUCAUCUAGGGGUAGGGCCUUGUUAAAUUUAUCCUAUCCAUGUUGACUUCUUGACUGGUGCUGUCAUUAUGCAGGUCUUGGUUAGGCAACCAUAAGAAUGGGGAAACUGGAAGCUGUGGGUGUGUGGGUGGGGGAACACCCUCAUAGAAGAACGGGAGGGGUGAUGGGAUACAGGGUUUAUGGAUGGGAAACUGGGAGGAUAACAUUUGAAAUGUAAAUAAAUAAAAAAUAUCCCCCCACCUUAUCAUAACUAGAAGUCUAUCUGGCAGCAUGCUCCGUGGUCCUCUGGCUGUGUUCCUUCUUUAGUGACGUUCUGUAAGCCCUGUAUAUAGGCGUAGAUUUAUUAGCUGCUGCUGGACAUCCUGAUGUCACUAAGUCUCUGCAUUUUAAUCAGCUGUGGAUCUCUGUAGUAGCCUCUGUUGCAGAAAGAAACUUCGUUGAUGAGAACUGAAAGCUAUAUUUCCCUGUGGGUCUAAAGAUAAAUUUUUCGCAUACACCUAGAAAUUAGCAUGUAAAGAAUGUGACCAGGUUUCUGAUAAAAAUCUCAAUCCUUAGUCAAGAUCAGUAAAUUCAUAUUUGAGAGAAAUCUUAUGCAGAUAAUUUACCCUUUGAGGGGGUUAAUCAGGUGUUUAUACUUGAGAAAAGGAAGAUAUUUAUGUGUGGAAAUUCUUUACAAAUCUAAAGAAUGUAAUAAAUAAUAAAGAUGUAUGAAUAAUCAUAAAACUUUUAAUUGUUUAUAGUUUACUCAGUGUUAUGUGUUGUAGUAUAAUGAAGUAUACUGACACCAAAAGAGUGCAACUACUUCAUUUUAGAAAGGACAACACUUUGCUAUAAGGUCAAACUUAUAAAAAUCACCCCACUUUUAAGAACUACAUGAAACACAAUUUUGAGAAAUUUGACUCUGAAGAACAAGACUGUUCCUGCUAAAUGUCAGCCAGUAGUUUUAUUUAUACCACAUGUAGUGAAGUUUGAAAUACUGGAAAUUUGGAAUGUGGGUGAGCAUUAAUUAUUUGAAAGUUUAAAUAAAAGGUGCUUUAAAAAUAUGUAUUGUUAUAUCAUUAUGUAUUCAUCAAAAUUGUGGACUUACAACACUAAAUGUGAAUGUUAGUAUACACUAUCAUCAUAACGAACACAUUUUUUUUUUUGGUUCUUUUUUUCGGAGCUGGGGACCGAACCCAGGGCCUUGCGCUUCCUAGGUAAGCGCUCUAACCACUGAGCUAAAUCCCCAGCCCACGAACACAUUUUUAGGCAUGGUGGCCUAUGCCUGUUACUCCCACACUCACAGAACUUGUGUGGGAAGAUCCUACAUUUGAUACUAUCCUAAGUUAUGUAAUACUAUAUCUACAAAGAACACAUCAGAAGAAAAAAUAGAAAUAACAGAAACGCUCCACUCUGGUUUAAAUAUUUAUGGUAAAGAAGAUUGUGUGGAUAGAGGAAGAGAAAUGUGGAAACAUUUUUUUUUUCUCUUCAAUUUUGCUGUUAACCGAAAACUAUUUGAAAAACCCGUCUAUUUCAAAAAUAUUACAUUGACACCAUAGAGGAACACUCAGAUUUGGUGAGCACCGAUCUCUUGCUCACCUGCUGGAACAGAACUACACACUACUGCAGCACCAGUACUAGAAUCAUUGCCGUUUCCUGCCCCAGUGAUGGAAGAUCCACUACCUUACAGAGCCAUUUCCAUUGUUGGGCAGAACCAGGAUUCCAGAGCUCUUCUUUGUGUGAAACUGACGUCAGCCUCAUUGUGACUUCCAAUCACCGUGCGUCAUUCUUCCUGUUGGAACUACGUGGAAUAAAUCUAAUUUCUUAGCCACAUGAAGUCCAUUUAUAUAUUGGGAAGCAGAGUUCAUAGUCUCCCUGGCUCUAGCUCAUUCCACAUCUUUUUCCAAGGCUGAAGAUUCUUUGUAUUUUCAGUGGUUCUUUGUCUAAUGCAAUUUCCCGGCAAUUACUACCCUGAUUAAUAAGUCUACUCUUCUUAAUAUGUUAGUUUCUGAAAGUAUUAGCAUCCUGUUGGGCACGUGUAGUUAACCAUCUAAAAUGAAGACCUUCCUGACUCCAUUAACCUUCCGUUAACUCUGGUUGCUGUGCUAGGGCUGCUGGUGUGUAUUUGCUGAGUAUUAGCCCAAAUAAUCUUCCCGAUGGAAUAUGAUUACCAGCAUUGAACGUGGAGCUUUCCAUGAUAUGAUUUAGAGUUGAGUGGACCUUUGCCAGCCUUCAGCUACCUGCAACACAGAGUCUCCUGUACAUAAGACUCCUAACUCCUCCCCCUCACCUUAAAAUUAUUUUUCAAUGAAAGAAAAGAAAAAAGAAGAUCAUGUCCUAUGACCUUAUUUAUUUUAUUUCUUGGAGGCAAGAAUACAUCUACAUAUCUAAAGGUAUAAUUGAAAUACAGUGCUAUAAUUAUAUUUAAGGACAAAAAUCACAUGAUCAUCUCAACAAAGCAUGAACAUACCUUUGGUAAAAGUUAACACUCAUCUCAUGAUAAAGAAACCUUGAUUAAAUGAGGUAGAGGAAGAACAUCCUUUCACGUAUGUAGUAAGGGCUACCGUUUUGGUUACAAUUUUGUGUCAUUGUAAAGUAUUCAUAAAACACAUCUCCAAAACAGGUUGUGAACUCUUGUUCCUUUGUUGGUCUUAUGAAUUCUAACUGGUAGGGAUCCUAGAUUCCUCUGGUGGUGUAACCAGUUCCCUGCCCAGCCAUGGACCAGAGGGCUCCUCCUUUAAUGUAAGGAUUAAUGGUUCCAUGAAAGGGGCUUUUGGUGACAUCUUAGUUUCCUCAGACUGUUCUACAUUUGGCUACCCCAGACUACUAAGCUUUCAGUUCAUUUCUUGAAUUUUUAAAAAUGUAGAUUUCAUCUGAGUCUGGCAUUUUUCUAAGACUUCUCAAACCAUGCCACUUUUUGAGCUGCCUCACAGGUGGCCCACCUCACCAGUGGA